GAUGAACGCUGGCUGCGUGCCUAAUACAUGCAAGUCGAGCGAACGGACGAGAAGCUUGCUUCUCUGAUGUUAGCGGCGGACGGGUGAGUAACACGUGGAUAACCUACCUAUAAGACUGGGAUAACUUCGGGAAACCGGAGCUAAUACCGGAUAAUAUUUUGAACCGCAUGGUUCAAAAGUGAAAGACGGUCUUGCUGUCACGUAUAGAUGGAUCCGCGCUGCAUUAGCUAGUUGGUAAGGUAACGGCUGACCAAGGCAACGAUGCAUAGCCGACCUGAGAGGGUGAGCGGCCACACUGGAACUGAGACACGGUCCAGACUCCUACGGGAGGCAGCAGUAGGGAAUCUUCCGCAAUGGGCGAAAGCCUGACGGAGCAACGCCGCGUGAGUGAUGAAGGUCUUCGGAUCGUAAAACUCUGUUAUUAGGGAAGAACAUAUGUGUAAGUAACUGUGCACAUCUUGACGGUACCUAAUCAGAAAGCCACGGCUAGCUACGUG
rnacentral:rRNA from 1 species